CUUAAAUCAGAUGAUUACACAAACUGCAGUUAUGAUCAUUUCUCCAAAACCAAAUGAGUGGAUCAGAACCAGGCUGGACACCACUGGGAGAAUCAAGACCAAGAUUAGCAUCAAAGCUGUCACUUGGUUCCUUAAAAGCGAUGAAUGUGAAAAGACUCGUUCCAAUUAUCCAGCAUUUCUCGCCCAAAUUUAUUCUCAGCAAACUGAGAGAAGCUCAUUAUCAACAUAUAUGGAGGGUAAUAGGACACUAAAACCCUGCGCAACAAGAGGAAAAUAUAUUCAAGCACACUUGUGUGGAACCCAA